rnacentral:rRNA from 1 species
UUAUGUGAUCGUCUCUCGCAUAUCAAUAAGCGGAGGAAAAGAAACUAACAAGGAUUCCCCUAGUAACGGCGAGUGAAGCGGGAAGAGCUCAAAUUUGAAAUCUUAAAGGGUUUCCCUUUACGAAUUGUAGUUUAAAGAAGUGUUUUCUGUUGAGGUUUUGGUAAAAGUUCUUUGGAAUAGGACAUCAUAGAGGGUGAGAAUCCCGUAUUUGACCUUUACUUUCAACUUUGUGAUACACUUUCAAAGAGUCGGAUUGUUUGGAAAUGCAGUCCAAAAUGGGUGGUAAAUUUCAUCUAAAGCUAAAUAUUGGCGAGAGACCGAUAGCGAACAAGUACCGUGAGGGAAAGAUGAAAAGAACUUUGAAAAGAGAGUUAAACAGUACGUGAAAUUGUCAAAAGGGAAGCGUUUGACACCAGUGUUGUUUUUCUGAAAAUCAAUUAAAGAACUGUUUAUGCUAAGUUGUUUAGACUUUAUCAGCUAUCUGCUUAGUUUUGAGCUUUUCUUUAAUGCACUUUUCAGUUAACAAGUCAACAUCAAUUUCUUUUGCUGUAAAAAAGCUUGAGGAAGGUGGCUUGAGAUUCGUCUUAAGUGUUUAUAGCCUCUUGCCUAUGCAGUCGGAGAGAUUGAGGUCUGCAGCGUAGAUCCUUCGGGGCUAAAUGCAUUUGUGCUAAGUUAUAGGCAUUUUCAUAGACAACUUGUUGACUAUGAUUUGUCUUGUAGCUUACUCGCUUAUGUUAUUUUACCUACGCUUAGGAUGUUGAUCUACAGAGCGAGAGU